ACAUGCAAGUCGAGCGAAUGACGAGAAGCUUGCUUCUCUGAUUUAGCGGCGGACGGGUGAGUAACACGUGGGCAACCUGCCCUGUAGACUGGGAUAACUUCGGGAAACCGGAGCUAAUACCGGAUAAUUCUUUUAGCCUCAUGGCUUUAAGCUAAAAGGCGCUUCGGCGUCACUACAGGAUGGGCCCGCGGUGCAUUAGCUAGUUGGUGGGGUAACGGCCUACCAAGGCAACGAUGCAUAGCCGACCUGAGAGGGUGAUCGGCCACAUUGGGACUGAGACACGGCCCAAACUCCUACGGGAGGCAGCAGUAGGGAAUCUUCCACAAUGGACGAAAGUCUGAUGGAGCAACGCCGCGUGAGUGAUGAAGGUUUUCGGAUCGUAAAACUCUGUUGUAAGGGAAGAACAAGUGCGUUAGGUAAUGAACGCACCUUGACGGUACCUUAUUAGAAAGCCACGGCUAACUACGUGCCAGCAGCCGCGGUAAUACGUAGGUGGCAAGCGUUGUCCGGAUUUAUUGGGCGUAAAGCGCGCGCAGGUGGUUUCUUAAGUCUGAUGUGAAAGCCCACGGCUCAACCGUGGAGGGUCAUUGGAAACUGGGAGACUUGAGUGCAGAAGAGGAUAGUGGAAUUCCAAGUGUAGCGGUGAAAUGCGUAGAGAUUUGGAGGAACACCAGUGGCGAAGGCGACUGUCUGGUCUGUAACUGACACUGAGGCGCGAAAGCGUGGGGAGCAAACAGGAUUAGAUACCCUGGUAGUCCACGCCGUAAACGAUGAGUGCUAAGUGUUAGGGGGUUUCCGCCCCUUAGUGCUGCAGCUAACGCAUUAAGCACUCCGCCUGGGGAGUACGACCGCAAGGUUGAAACUCAAAGGAAUUGACGGGGGCCCGCACAAGCGGUGGAGCAUGUGGUUUAAUUCGAAGCAACGCGAAGAACCUUACCAGGUCUUGACAUCCCAAUGACCGUCUUAGAGAUAAGAUUUUCCCUUCGGGGACAUUGGUGACAGGUGGUGCAUGGUUGUCGUCAGCUCGUGUCGUGAGAUGUUGGGUUAAGUCCCGCAACGAGCGCAACCCUUAUUCUUAGUUGCCAUCAUUUAGUUGGGCACUCUAAGGAGACUGCCGGUGACAAACCGGA
rnacentral:rRNA from 1 species